GAUGGAUAACAGGUUGAUAUUCCUGUACCACCUAUAAUCGUUUUAAUCGAUGGGGGGACGCAGUAGGAUAGGCGAAGCGUGCGAUUGGAUUGCACGUCUAAGCAGUAAGGCUGAGUAUUAGGCAAAUCCGGUACUCGUUAAGGCUGAGCUGUGAUGGGGAGAAGACAUUGUGUCUUCGAGUCGUUGAUUUCACACUGCCGAGAAAAGCCUCUAGAUAGAAAAUAGGUGCCCGUACCGCAAACCGACACAGGUAGUCAAGAUGAGAAUUCUAAGGUGAGCGAGCGAACUCUCGUUAAGGAACUCGGCAAAAUGACCCCGUAACUUCGGGAGAAGGGGUGCUCUUUAGGGUUAACGCCCAGAAGAGCCGCAGUGAAUAGGCCCAAGCGACUGUUUAUCAAAAACACAGGUCUCUGCUAAACCGUAAGGUGAUGUAUAGGGGCUGACGCCUGCCCGGUGCUGGAAGGUUAAGAGGAGUGGUUAGCUUCUGCGAAGCUACGAAUCGAAGCCCCAGUAAACGGCGGCCGUAACUAUAACGGUCCUAAGGUAGCGAAAUUCCUUGUCGGGUAAGUUCCGACCCGCACGAAAGGCGUAACGAUUUGGGCACUGUCUCAACGAGAGACUCGGUGAAAUCAUAGUACCUGUGAAGAUGCAGGUUACCCGCGACAGGACGGAAAGACCCCGUGGAGCUUUACUGUAGCCUGAUAUUGAAAUUCGGCACAGCUUGUACAGGAUAGGUAGGAGCCUUUGAAACGUGAGCGCUAGCUUACGUGGAGGCGCUGGUGGGAUACUACCCUAGCUGUGUUGGCUUUCUAACCCGCACCACUUAUCGUGGUGGGAGACAGUGUCAGGCGGGCAGUUUGACUGGGGCGGUCGCCUCCUAAAAGGUAACGGAGGCGCUCAAAGGUUCCCUCAGAAUGGUUGGAAAUCAUUCAUAGAGUGUAAAGGCAUAAGGGAGCUUGACUGCGAGACCUACAAGUCGAGCAGGGUCGAAAGACGGACUUAGUGAUCCGGUGGUUCCGCAUGGAAGGGCCAUCGCUCAACGGAUAAAAGCUACCCCGGGGAUAACAGGCUUAUCUCCCCCAAGAGUUCACAUCGACGGGGAGGUUUGGCACCUCGAUGUCGGCUCAUCGCAUCCUGGGGCUGUAGUCGGUCCCAAGGGUUGGGCUGUUCGCCCAUUAAAGCGGUACGCGAGCUGGGUUCAGAACGUCGUGAGACAGUUCGGUCCCUAUCCGUCGUGGGCGUAGGAAAUUUGAGAGGAGCUGUCCUUAGUACGAGAGGACCGGGAUGGACAUACCUCUGGUGUACCAGUUGUCGUGCCAACGGCAUAGCUGGGUAGCUAUGUGUGGACGGGAUAAGUGCUGAAAGCAUCUAAGCAUGAAGCCCCCCUCAAGAUGAGAUUUCCCAACUUCGGUUAUAAGAUCCCUCAAAGAUGAUGAGGUUAAUAGGUUCGAGGUGGAAGCAUGGUGACAUGUGGAGCUGACGAAUACUAAU
rnacentral:rRNA from 1 species